rnacentral:rRNA from 1 species
GAUGAACGCUAGCGAUAGGCUUAACACAUGCAAGUCGAGGGGCAGCACAAGGUAGCUUGCUAUCUGGGUGGCGACCGGCGCACGGGUGCGUAACGCGUAUGCAACUUGCCCUAUACAGGAGGAUAACCCGUCGAAAGACGGACUAAUACUGCGUAUGCUCACAACUUGGCAUCAAGUGGUGAGGAAAGAAAUUCGGUAUAGGAUAGGCAUGCGUCCCAUUAGCUUGUUGGUGAGGUAACGGCUCACCAAGGCAACGAUGGGUAGGGGAACUGAGAGGUUUAUCCCCCACACUGGUACUGAGACACGGACCAGACUCCUACGGGAGGCAGCAGUAAGGAAUAUUGGUCAAUGGGCGCGAGCCUGAACCAGCCAAGUCGCGUGAAGGAUGACUGUCUUAUGGAUUGUAAACUUCUUUUAUACGGGAAUAACAAGAGUCACGUGUGACUCCCUGCAUGUACCGUAUGAAUAAGCAUCGGCUAACUCCGUG